GCCCAUUACCGACGUCUUUGUCGCCGACUUGCUAUAAAUACCUUCAAAGGCGAUUUUUAACUGUACACGAAUACACUUGCUUUUGCGGUGCUCAAAAUUUUGCAGCAAUCGCAUUCGCCUCUCCGAGCCAGAUCCCGUAGCGCAUUUUAUCUGUAAGUGAAAGCUUCGGCUUUUCAUUAUUCCGUUUAUGCGUUGCAUCUUCGCCAGAAAUUAUCUCUUACUGUUUACAGUUGAUUACUACCGACAUUGUAAUCUCUAGGUGUUGUGAAAUGCAUGAACGUUUUUUUUUUUUUUUACCAUACUUAUGAGUGUACAAUCAGCAGAAUUUAGUUAGACUAAGGACGUGUAUCUCUGUGCUUAGCUGUGCUUAGUAUUAGUGGUUACUUCGUUAUAUUCUGUUACAUUUUAAAAAUUAGGCAUAUAAUUGAAUGAUUUUACCUUCCUAACUGAUUGCUGGAAUUUCUUAAUUUGUAUUAUGAUUUUGGAAAGUUAUUAUCCAUUAUAUUUUGGGUCGAGUUCUGGACUUCUUGUAAAAUCUGUGUUCACUAUAAUUAUGAUUGGGCUUAAUGGAAUAAAUAUUUCUGGUACCAGAACGUGGAGUGGGAGCGUUAAUUCCCUAUGAAGUAAAUCUACUAACAAAUAAUUAAGUUUGUUUUAAGAUAUAUAAAUUUUUAAUAGUUGAAGCUGUAAACAAUUAACUUACUUUUGCAAUAAGAUGAGAGUAAAUUCCAGAAUUAGUAACUCAUUUUUACUUUAAAUAAUGAAAAUAAGAAAAAGUAACAUAUUUUUAACACAUCUAGACAUAUUUUUAGAAACAAACAUUUACUUAAAAGUAACUGUUACUUAUUCAUACGACUGGCUAAAACUUGCUCAAAGUGUUCAUAUAUAGAGUCCUGCAUAGUUGUAAAACACAAAAAUAAAGUGACAAUAGUUAUAUUAGAAGUCAAAAACUAGUAUAAGAUAGAUAGCACACAAAUACAAUGCAUGUAGAAUCCAAUAAAGAAACUGCAUAAGAAUUAAUCAUAGUAUGGUGAAUGAUUAUUUACUUUCACACAGUCACGGUGCAAGUUAAUAAACAUAGACAGUCUUCAAUUUAUAUUAUUUAUCACAACAAAAUCUGGAUUUUAUUUAUGUAACUUAUAAGCCUAGAUCUUUGUCACAUUGGCCUGCAGCAUUUGAUGGUGUAAAUAUCCUGUUAGGCCACUAUCCAAGUCCUUUGGACUUUGAAGUUUUAAUGCUUUUCUUAUCUUUCAUAGUUCACAACUUCGCCAAAAUGAGAUUAAAUUUAUCUGAGAUUCUUCACCGAUUGACUACCCUUAUUCCUGAAUUACACUCAUGUGUUACAGGUGAUGAUGCAUUGAUGCCUUACACAGCUUCUAGUGCAAAAGUUUUCUAUAGUGUGCAACAAGUUAAAUAAUCAUCUUUCAUUCACUUCCGUUUCUGAUAAGGUAAGGAUUCUUUCUAGGACAAGACUAUAAUGUUAUGCUUUUGAUAUUUAAGUACGAAUAAGUGUUGAGCAUUUCUAUGAUAAUGUGCUUGGUUUGCAUAUUUUAGGCAUAGAGGAAAAUGAGAAUUGUGCUCGAUAAGUUUAUUCAUUGGAAGUUUCGAGGGAGAUAGAUUUGUAGAUUUACUUUAUUUUAGCCAUUUACUUUCCAUUCUAUUCUUUUGAUUUAGUUUUGAGUUUCUGUCUUCUUAUAUCAUGAUGACCUCUCUUUCUUUGUUACAUGUUUCUUUUUUCUUUUCAUUUUGUAUAAGAAAAUUGCAUUCUCCUCGUAAUUCGAGGGAUGCAAAUGAACUAAAUUGAUCUGAAUUGAAUUCCAGUUUGCUCUGGUUUGGCUUGUGUUUGUGCCGAGAAAAUUUGAUUUUGUCCUCCUUCAAUAACAUUUCUCGACUAAACGAAUUGGUCACAAACAUAAAAUGGAAAACUAGUUAAUUCAAUUGAAUUAUCUAUUAUAAUAUGGUUGAAAACGUUAAAAAUAGCUAGUUAAUAGUGGAAUAUAAUGAUUAGGGAAAAAGUUGUGUUAUAUAAUGGAUACAAUUAAUAUUAUAUUUUAUCUCUAGCGGUCAAAAGUAAGAUAAAUUUGAAAAUGCAUCUCAAGAUUAUAGUAUUCGUGAACUUUUAUAGAUAUACAGGUUUUUCCUGUGUGGCUUGUUUAGGGAAACAAGCUAAACCUUAUUCCUAAUACAUAUCUAGUCAGACUUGUGAUUUCUCUCCAGUCAAAACAACUAUGUCCAAAACAAGCAUGUCCAAAAAUUGCAACGGACCAUAUUGAUGUUGAUUUUCCUUUUCUAUCUCUGGUAUUAAAGAUCAUGAUAAUCUAUCCAUGCGUUUUUUACUGAACACAGAAUACGUUUUCAUUGCACAAUAACCACCAGACCAAAUAAUUACAAUGUGGGAUGAAAACCAACAUGCAGUUGUGGAAUAGCCUGCAUAUUUGCGGCCAUGACAUGAGAUCUCUACUUGUCAAGACCUUAACCUUCUUUUUCUUACCAUUGUGCUUCGGCCUCUUUUUGCAGCUAGUUAAUCAAUCAAGAUUUAAGGUGAGUACUUGAGGCAAUUAAAUAUUUCUAAAAGCAGCCCGUUUGAGUUUCUGAAUCUCUCUCUUUCAUUCACGUUGUAGUUUUUCCAUCUUUAUAAGAUGCUUGGUACCUAAUUAGCUAUAAAGUCAGUUCUUUUAUAGUCUAGUACUGAGUCAGUUCUUUUAAAGUCAAGUACUGGUUGUUGCAGAUUUUUCUUUCCUAAAUUUUUUUGGCAGAAGAUAAGUUUUUUCUUGCUGGAACAACAUUUUUGCGGCUUCUACUUCCUAGUGGUAUUGGCUUAUUGCGUUUGAAUAGGCCGUUUAAUUCAUUUUGCAGAAGAGUAGCUUUGUCUUUUUCCUUUUAGUUUAUCCCACUGAUGGCUUGACGAUACGUUAUGAUAUUUGGAAUAGAAUUGAACAAAUGGUUUUUUUAGGCACUUAUUUUUCUUAUUUAGCCCUUGUUUGACAUCUAUUAUUUCAAAACUCUUCUUUUUCUAUACUCAUUUUUAAUCGCAUAUUCUCACAAUAAAAUACUUUUUAACCAUAUAUUUUCCGUAAAUAGUAAAAACUCAUUAUUUCCAAAAAAAUUCUAUCAAAUAGGGGCAUAUUAAAAUGGAUGAGAUAGUAGAUGAGAACGUACACCAAUAAGUGGAGGUGGCAGCGAUCGAGGAUAAAAUUUAAGGGAAAGAAGACUUAUGUUGUUUGGACAUGUUUUGUGCUAGUCUAAAGAGCAGCAUACAUGCUUAGUUGUUCUCUUGGGGAGGGCAUUUGCCAUCUUACUCCUCACAGCUUUCUAUCUCGUCCCUGAGAUUCGAACUCAAGACAUUUGCCUUAUGAGAGGCAAAAGGUCUUGAGUUUGAAUCUUAGGGGAUGCGAUAGAAAUUGGUAAAGGAUAAGAUGGAUUCAAACUCUCCUAAAGAGGACAAUACAUAUGAUAUAAUGGCUUGAGCAUAGAAGUCGGGUUGUUAUAAAUAUGUUUGAUGUGCGUUGCAUAAAAUCAUUCGUCUCUUACUUGCACAUUCUCAAUGUACAUUGAUUUUCUUGUGUAACCCAACCACUCAAGCUCUUAGAUUCUACGUUAAUUCUGUUCUCAUGAUAUACUUGCUAUGGAUCCUCUGCCAGGAACAGGCUGAAAAAUUAACAGACAUAAUAACUAAAAAAUGUAUAAAUUGUGCAAUGAUAGUGAUAUGAGAGAAAAGGGGACCUUGAGAACCAUAAUUGUCAGCUUAAUUGUUGAAUUAGGAAGAAAUGGUUUGAAAUGUCUUUUAUUUUCUGAGCCUCACCAUCCUUGUUUGAUAAUGAUAUUAAAAGAUAUUCGCUCUGUUUGUUCAUAAUAUUGAAAGCUAUAAUCUGUUGCUGAUUCAGUUUGUCUUGUUAUACACUUUUGGUGGCCCAUAUGGCAUAUAAAAAAUAAUAAUAGUCUAAAUUGUUGUGCUUUGGUAGAAAAACAUAAACAUUUUUAUCAAAUCUAGGAGCUCUACGUAUCUAUGAGCAAGAUUUUGACUCCAUUUGUUUCCCUUUCUUGAUGUGAACAGAAAUCCGGUAUGAAGACUAGCUCAGUUUGGGUUGCUUUUGGACCAGCACUAAGGUGACCAAUCUGUACCAAUGCAUCCCACUGUGGUUUCUUCUAUUUUAAUAUAAAUAUGCUAUGCAAUAAGAUUCAAGAUUUAUUUGUAUGACAUAGAUCAUGUUUCAUUAAGCUUAAAAACUUUACUUAGUAAUAAGUUGG
rnacentral:lncRNA from 1 species